rnacentral:lncRNA from 1 species
GGGCGGUGGGGGCGGGAUCGGCUUCACCUGGAUCGAUUGGUGAUGGCUGUGCCCGGCACGCUGCUCAGUGCCGUGGUUGAUUAGCGAUGUCUGCCGCGGCCCCGGAGGGGCCGUCUAAGGCUGACCGUUUACCUACCGUCUGGGGUGUAUGCUGCGUCCAGCAAAGACUCAGAGGGGUGGCCAGGAGCUGCUUCUCUACUGGUGCACGUUCACCCGCUCAGCGAGCAGGGGGCAGGCAGCGGUUGCCGUGGGCUCGGACCCACGCAGGGGGCCCACCCAUGCCCCCACCCCACUCCCGCUCCCGUGGACAGGCAGGCCGCGGUGGGGAGCACUGGACGGGGAGAAGCGUGGCUGGAUGGGGCUCAUCACUCUGCUGUCUGGCACCCUCUGAGGCCGGAGGCGGCUGGAGAGGAGGAAACUGAGGCUUGGAGCUGUAAUGGAGCUAGC